UUGGCGUUGGUAGGAGUUCAACAAU
rnacentral:piRNA from 1 species